UACGGAGGGUGCAAGCGUUGUCCGGAUUUAUUGGGUUUAAAGGGUGCGCAGGCGGCCGAGUGUGUGAGGCGUGAAAGCCCGGGGCUUAACCCCGGAAUUGCACCUCAAACUACACGGCUAGAGCAUUGGAGAGGGUAGCAGAAUUCAUGGUGUAGCAGUGAAAUGCGUAGAUAUCAUGAGGAAUACCAGAGGCGAAGGCGGCUACCUGGACAAUUGCUGACGCUCAGGCACGAAAGCGUGGGGAGCAAAAGGG
rnacentral:rRNA from 1 species